CUUCACCGAGCCGAGCCACAGGGGCCGGUCCUCGGGACGUGCGGCGCCGUAGGUGGCGGCCAGCGCCUCCGCCUC
rnacentral:antisense_RNA from 1 species